GUACCUAUUGGAUCGCGGCGACGCCGUGGCCAAAGCUUCCAAAAACCCCCACGUGGUGAGAGCGACUUGGGGGGCCGGGAAUGGGGGAGCUAUGGGGCGCUGUGGGGCGCUGUGGGGCGCUGUGGGUCUCUAUGGGGCGCUAUGGGUCGAUAUGGGGUCUCUAUGGGGUCUCUGUGGGGUGCUGUGGGGCGCUAUGGGGCACUGUGGGUCUCUAUGGGGUCUCUAUGGGUCGAUAUGGGGCGCUAUGGGGCACUAUGGGGCGCUGUGGGUCUCUAUGGGGUCUCUAUGGGGCACUGUGGGUCUCUGUGGGGCACUGUGGGUCUCUAUGGGGUGAUAUGGGGUGCUGUGGGGCACUUAUGGGGCCUCUAUGGGGCGCUAUGGGUAUCUGUGGGGCGCUGUGGGGUCUCUAUGGGACGAUAUGGGGCACUAUGGGGCUCUAUGGGGUCUCUAUGGGUCUCUAUGGGUCUCUGUGGCUCUCUAUGGGUCUCUAUGGGGCGCUUAUGGGUCUCUAUGGGGUCUCUAUGGGGCGCUGUGGGGUCUCUAUGGGGCACUAUGGGUCUCUAUGGGGCGCUAUGGGGUGCAGUGGGUCUCUAUGGGGCGCUAUGGGGGCUGUAUAGGUCUCUAUGGGUCUCUAUGGGGGCUCUAUGGGGAGCUAUGGGUCUCUAUGGGGCACUAUGGGGUGUCUAUGUGUCUCUAUGGGGUGCUAUGGGGUCUCUAUGGGGCAGUGUGGGGUCUCUAUGGGUCUCUAUGGGACAUUAUGGGUCUCUGUGGGGCACUAUGGGUCGAUAUGGGGUCUCUAUGGGGCGCUGUGGGGCGCCAUGGGGCGCUAUGGGGCACUGUGGGUCUCUAUGGGGCACUAUGGGUCGAUAUGGGGUCUCUAUGGGGC
rnacentral:lncRNA from 1 species